AUUAUUUUAAAUGAAUACGGUAGAAAUACUUUGAGUCAGUCCUUACGAAAUAAAAUUCCCCUGCUAAAUAUGCAGAAAAAAAAGCUUACGAUAAAAUAAAAGCUGUUAAUUUCGGCAAUUGAAAAUUUGUUUCUAGACAUACCCAACGGAACUGAAAAAAAUUUUGAAUUCACAGAACCUGUUUGGAGGUGCGAUUAUUUUACUAGCAGGAGAUUUUCGUCAAACGUUGCGAGUUAUUACCAGACCAACAAUCGCUGAUGAAAUAUCUGGUUGAUGGAAACAUCGAAUAUCAAGUAAACUUCGAAUAUGCGAAAGACGUCACAAAAUGACUUAUCAGCGGAAAGGAUUUAAAUGCAUUAUUAAAUAUUGGCAAUGGGAAAAUUCCUGUUGACAGUUCUACUGGCCUCAUUUCGUCACCAGUUCGUCAAAUAAAGAAUUAAUAUCGAAAGUGUUCCCAAAUAUUGAUAUGAAAUCAUGCCUGGUAAAGCAAACGAGCCAUUUUAGAAGCGAAAAAUAAGGACGUAGAUGAUUUAUAUAUAAAAAUUGAGACUAGAAAUAAUGGACUAAUGUAUUAAUUUAAGUCAGGAAUUUCCAAGAUUACCACCACAUAAUUUUCAGCUAAAGAUUGGGUCUGUGAAAAACUUCAUUGAAGCUACUACAAUCAUAGAGUAGUUCAAAAGAAAGGAUUUAAUCAUUUGAAGAAUUUCACUAAUGCCAACUGAUUUUCCUUUUGAAUGUCCGAUUUCCAGUGUGCCUUUUAUUUGCAAUGAAAAUAAUGCAUUUCAAGGCCAAUCGUUAGGUGUGUGGAAUAGGUCCUGAAUUUCCGUAUUUUUCGCAUGGGCAGUUAAGCGUUGCAUCAAUAUUACUAUUUAUUUUUUCUCCAGAAGUAAACACGAAAAAUAUUGUACACCAUGAAGCAUUACAAUACCUACGCUUAACUUUUUUAAAUGCCGUUUUACUCCAUUAUGUCAAGGACAUAUAUAUAUUGUACUUGUAGUAUGCUACAGAAACCAUAUGUAUGUCAGCCGUAUUUUAAAUUUUUGUUCCAAAACAAAUGUAAUUCUCUACUACAAUAGCGUUCAAAUAACUAUUGAAAUAAUGUGGUGUUGUGUAAUGUAUUAAGCCCUUCUGCCGAAAUCAGAAAUUCAAACCAAAAAAUGGAAAAAAUGUUGUUGCAAAGCCGUUUUCUGGAUAUCAAUAUUUUAUAUUGCUUCGUCCUUUUUAAUGUCCGUAGAGAUAGAGUAAAAUAUUUCCCUCCUCAGGUAAUAAAAUAUUUUAAGAUUCUUUUUUAAGAUUCUUUGCUGUUAUAUGAAA